GAUGAACGCUAGCGGCAGGCCUAACACAUGCAAGUCGAGGGGUAACAGAGAAGCUUGCUUCUGCUGACGACCGGCGCACGGGUGCGUAACGCGUAUAGAAUCUACCUUAUACUGAGGGAUAGCCUUUGGAAACGAAGAUUAACACCUCAUAGUAUGUUUACUUCGCAUGGAGUUUACAUUAAAGGUUACGGUAUAAGAUGACUAUGCGUUCUAUUAGCUAGAUGGUGUGGUAACGGCACACCAUGGCAACGAUAGAUAGGGGCCCUGAGAGGGGGAUCCCCCACACUGGUACUGAGACACGGACCAGACUCCUACGGGAGGCAGCAGUGAGGAAUAUUGGACAAUGGGCGCAAGCCUGAUCCAGCCAUGCCGCGUGCAGGAAGACUGCCCUAUGGGUUGUAAACUGCUUUUAUACGGGAAGAAACAUCACUACGUGUAGUGACUUGACGGUACCGUAAGAAUAAGGAUCGGCUAACUCCGUGCCAGCAGCCGCGGUAAUACGGAGGAUCCAAGCGUUAUCCGGAAUCAUUGGGUUUAAAGGGUCCGUAGGUGGAUAAUUAAGUCAGAGGUGAAAUCUUGCAGCUCAACUGUAAAAUUGCCUUUGAUACUGGUUAUCUUGAAUUAUUGUGAAGUGGUUAGAAUAUGUAGUGUAGCGGUGAAAUGCAUAGAUAUUACAUAGAAUACCAAUUGCGAAGGCAGAUCACUAACAAUAUAU
rnacentral:rRNA from 1 species